rnacentral:rRNA from 1 species
GCUGAGCGGUAGAGAUUCUUCGGAAUCUUGAGAGCGGCGCACGGGUGCGGAACACGUGUGCAACCUGCCUUUAUCUGGGGGAUAGCCUUUCGAAAGGAAGAUUAAUACCCCAUAAUAUAUUGACUGGCAUCAGUUGAUAUUGAAAACUCCGGUGGAUAGAGAUGGGCACGCGCAGGAUUAGAUAGUUGGUGAGGUAACGGCUCACCAAGUCAACGAUCCUUAGGGGGCCUGAGAGGGUGAUCCCCCACACUGGUACUGAGACACGGACCAGACUCCUACGGGAGGCAGCAGUGAGGAAUAUUGGACAAUGGGUGAGAGCCUGAUCCAGCCAUCCCGCGUGAAGGACGACGGCCCUAUGGGUUGUAAACUUCUUUUGUAUAGGGAUAAACCUACCCUCGUGAGGGUAGCUGAAGGUACUAUACGAAUAAGCACCGGCUAACUCCGUGCCAGCAGCCGCUGUAAUACGGAGGGUGCAAGCGUUAUCCGGAUUUAUUGGGUUUAAAGGGUCCG